GAAUAAAAAAAGGCCAGUGCAGUCUCUAGCAAAUACAGCUCUUUAAUGAAAUCUCCAGAGGAAGAAGAGAGAGCUGCAGCUAGACGUGGAGGCAAGAAGAAGGAGCCAUAUACUACUACCCCUUACAUUACCUCUUCUCUUCUGGAGUUAAGUUGCCGGACAUGGUCAGAGUUCUCAUGUUAAAACUUGCAAAUUUGACCCCUUGCCUUUGGAUGUUCCUUUGCACUACUACAAUAAUAUUAGAUUGUUGCCCAUGGUUUCUAGAUAAACUCCUAAACAAAGUAAUAGUGGAAAGUAGGCAGUAUAGCACAUCGAAAUCAGAUUGCCUGCCUUAGAACUCCUGCUUUGGCAGCUACUACUAGUUGUGUGUAUUUGGAGAAAAAUGUAUCUCACAUGGUUGUUGUGAAAAUUAAAUGAGAUAAUACAUGAAAAGGACUGAUAAAGAUAUUUGAAACAGUAUCCAGUUAGAGGACAUCAUGGAAGAGGAAAACUCAUUUAUGACAAAGAAGAUUAAACACCUAGAAAUAAAUUCAAGAAAUGUACAAAGCAUACAUGAAUAAAACUUUAUACUUCUCUGGACACAAGGAGGGGAACAUCACGAACCGGAGCCUGUUAGGGCGUGAGGGGCUAGGCGAGGGAGAGCAUUAGGAGAAAUACCUAAUGUAGGUGAUGGGUUGAUGGGUGCAGCAAACCACCAUGGCAUGUGUAUACCUCUGUAACAAAACUGCACGUUCUGC
rnacentral:lncRNA from 10 species